UCGGGAUAGCUCAGCUGGUAGAGCAGAGACUGAAA
rnacentral:tRNA from 2 species